rnacentral:rRNA from 1 species
UUGAACGCUGGCGGCAUGCCUUACACGUGCAAGUCGAACGGUAACAGGUCUUCGGAUGCUGACGAGUGGCGAACGGGUGAGUAAUACAUCGGAACGUGCCCGAUCGUGGGGGAUAACGCAGCGAAAGCUGUGCUAGUACCGCAUACGAUCUACGGAUGAAAGCGGGGGAUCGCAAGACCUCGCGCGGACGGAGCGGCCGAUGGCAGAUUAGGUAGUUGGUGGGAUAAAAGCUUACCAAGCCGACGAUCUGUAGCUGGUCUGAGAGGACGACCAGCCACACUGGGACUGAGACACGGCCCAGACUCCUACGGGAGGCAGCAGUGGGGAAUUUUGGACAAUGGGCGAAAGCCUGAUCCAGCCAUGCCGCGUGCAGGAUGAAGGCCUUCGGGUUGUAAACUGCUUUUGUACGGAACGAAAAAGUCUUCUCUAAUACAGGGGGCGAAUGACGGUACCGUAAGAAUAAGCACCGGCUAACUACGU